GUCGGUUUGGCCGAGUGGUUAAGGCGUGAGAUUAGAAAUCUCAUGGGGUUUCUCCGCGCAGGUUCGAAUCCUGCAGCCGACG
rnacentral:tRNA from 1 species